rnacentral:snRNA from 1 species
AGCUUUGCGCAGUGGCAGUAUCGUAGCCAAUGAGGUUUAUCCGAGGCGCGAUUAUUGCUAGUUGAAAACUUUUCCCAAUACCCCGCCAUGACGACUUGAAAUAUAGUCGGCAUUGGCAAUUUUUGAGAGCCUCCCCGGAGGCUG